GAUGAACGCUGGCGGCGUGCCUAAUACAUGCAAGUCGAGCGAACGGACGAGAAGCUUGCUUCUCUGAUGUUAGCGGCGGACGGGUGAGUAACACGUGGAUAACCUACCUAUAAGACUGGGAUAACUUCGGGAAACCGGAGCUAAUACCGGAUAAUAUUUUGAACCGCAUGGUUCAAAAGUGAAAGACGGUCUUGCUGUCACUUAUAGAUGGAUCCGCGCUGCAUUAGCUAGUUGGUAAGGUAACGGCUUACCAAGGCAACGAUGCAUAGCCGACCUGAGAGGGUGAUCGGCAACACUGGAACUGAGACACGGUCCAGACUCCUACGGGAGGCAGCAGUAGGGAAUCUUCCGCAAAGGGCGAAAGCCUGACGGAGCAACGCCGCGUGAGUGAUGAAGGUCUUCGGAUCGUAAAACUCUGUUAUUAGGGAAGAACAUAUGUGUAAGUAACUGUGCACAUCUUGACGGUACCUAAUCAGAAAGCCACGGCUAACUACGUG
rnacentral:rRNA from 1 species